rnacentral:rRNA from 1 species
GACGAACGCUGGCGGCGUGCUUAACACAUGCAUGUCGAACGAAGUGGCGAACGGGUGCGUAAUACGUGGGUAACCUGCCCUCCUUUUUGGGAUAAGCCUUGGAAACGGGGUCUAAUAACGCAUAAAGGGUGAUGGGCUCGUGGCCUAUCAGCUUGUUGGUGGGGUGAUGUCCUACCAAGGCGGUGACGGGUAGCCGGCCUGAGCGGGGGAUCGGCAACAUUAGGAUAGGGAGACGGCUCCGAUACCUAAGGGGGACAUCAGUGAGGGAUAGUGCACAAGGGGCAAAAGCUUGGUGCAGCGAGGCCGAGUGGGGGAUGAAGGAUUUCGGCUUGGAAACCUCAUUCGUGAUCUAAAGGGUAGGUGGAGAAGUGGCGCCAACUAAGUGGGUGGCAGCCGCCGCGGUAAUAC